rnacentral:rRNA from 1 species
GAUGAACGCUGGCGGCGUGCUUAACACAUGCAAGUCGAACGGUGAAGGCGGAGCUUGCUCUGCUGGAUCAGUGGCGAACGGGUGAGUAACACGUGAGCAAUCUGCCCCUGACUCUGGGAUAAGCGCUGGAAACGGCGUCUAAUACUGGAUACGAGCUGCGAAGGCAUCUUCAGCAGCUGUAAAGAAUUGCGGUCAGGGAUGAGCUCGCGGCCUAUCAGCUUGUUGGUGAGGUAAUGGCUCACCAAGGCUUCGACGGGUAGCCGGCCUGAGAGGGUGACCGGCCACACUGGGACUGAGACACGGCCCAGACUCCUACGGGAGGCAGCAGUGGGGAAUAUUGCACAAUGGGCGAAAGCCUGAUGCAGCAACGCCGCGUGAGGGACGACGGCCCUCGGGUUGUAAACCUCUUUUAGCAGGGAAGAAGCGAAAGUGACGGUACCUGCAGAAAAAGCGCCGGCUAACUACGUG